UGCACGUGUCACCACAAAAGUUAUGCACUUUCGUGUGCUCUUAUUCUCCCUCAGCUCAAGACCGAAGAUUCUCAACUUCCAUUCGUUUCUCUCAUCAUCUUCUCAUCUCAGGGGGAAAAAUGAGUGGCCGUUCAAGUCGCACAAUUUAUGUUGGAAAUCUUCCUGGCGAUAUUCGCUUGAGAGAAGUAGAGGAUCUUUUCUACAAGUAUGGUCCUAUUGUUGACAUUGAUUUGAAGAUCCCCCCAAGACCACCAGGUUAUGCUUUUGUUGAGUAUGAGGAUGCUCGUGAUGCUGAAGAUGCAAUUCACUAUCGAGAUGGUUACAAUUUCGACGGUUUUCGGUUACGAGUUGAACUUGCUCAUGGUGGGCGGGGAUAUUCAUCAUCAGUAGACCGUUACAGUAGUUAUAGUGGUAGCAGUGGUAGCCGUGGAGUUUCCAGGCGUUCAGACUAUCGUGUUCUGGUCACUGGAUUACCUCCUUCUGCUUCAUGGCAAGACCUGAAAGAUCACAUGCGUAAAGCUGGUGAUGUGUGUUUUUCACAAGUCUUUCGAGAGCGUGGUGGCAUGACUGGGAUAGUGGAUUAUACCAAUUAUGAUGAUAUGAAAUAUGCUAUCAAGAAACUUGAUGACUCAGAGUUCCGAAAUGCCUUUUCUCGGGCAUACAUACGGGUGAGGGAAUAUGAUCGCGGUUAUUCUAGAAGUCCCAGUCGUGAUUCAAGGAGGAGCUAUUCUAGAAGUCCCAGCCAGAGUCCAUAUUUGUCACGAAGUAGAAGCCGCAGCCGUAGUUACAGCUAUAGUGACAGGAGCAGAAGUUUGUCUCCAAAAGCAAAGCGUUAUCAGCGUUCAAUAUCUCCUUCAAGAGAGGGGGGAGACUGCUUGCACACUCUGGUUGUCCUGCACCAACAGGAACAAGACAAUUUGUUCUGGUGAAUUCUGUGAUGUUUAUUACUACUUUUCACUCAAUCUUUAUGCUUUUUUUGUCUAUUUAAGUUUUGGUUGAGAAAGGAGAGCUUGGUUUUGUUGUUUACGAUUCUAUUAUUAGUAUUGUUUAUUCAUGGUUGAUUACAUCAUUUCUCUCGUAAACAAAUCAACUUUUGUCAACCUUUAUCCAAGCCAUGACUUUUUAUUUGUUUUGGUUUUCAUGUAUCUGCCUGGCAGUAUUCAAGCCACGCUCUAUCUUUUAGCUUAUUUUUAAAUUACGUUGGACAGGCCAAACGUCAUUUUAGCUUUUGAUAUUGAGUAUUCCUUCUCCCAGUUCUCAAAAAAGGAGAGAUGGACACUUAGUUUGUUAAUUAUACAUGCAAAAAUAGUUUAUUUCUUAUGGUCUUCAAUUUCUGGCUUGGGUCAUUGUGUUUUGAGUAGCAGAGGGUCACUGAGGUAUAACUAUUGGGUAAUUAUUUUACACUAUAAUAGCAUGUGUGGUGAUUUUGUACCCACACCUUAGGGGCUCAUAUGACUGGGAAGAUGCUGAGAUGAGCCAGGAACUAUGAUAACAGUUAAGAUUAUUCAUAUUUAGUUACUGUACCUUUGUUCUCCGAGCUUCAACUAUGUCUCUACAUUUUUUGAAGUUUCUCUUUGCUAUCCACAUCCGUACAUAGGUGUAGAGGAUUUCUAUGGAAGUGCUCUUUUCCUUCCAUAUUUCUCUUGAUUCAGUAGGAUCUCUGCUUGUUGCAUUUAUGAGCUUGUUAUUUCUUGAUUGAAAUGAAAUUCAUUGGAACAUUUUAUAAAGAUAUAAUGGCAUCCCUUUGUUCCAAUUUUAAUUUCUCAUCACUUAUGGGAUUGUUUGGAUCCACGUCCUAUUGUAGCAUUCAGUUUCUUUUGUGGAUGGCUUGGAUUUUUUUAUGUUUUGCUUUUCUAGAAUAUUCUGAUAUUCCUAGUUGUGUCACAAGUUUAUGAACUUCUCUUUUUCCUUUUUGUGCUAGUUGGAGGGGACAUUUUGUUUCCUUACAUUUCCCAAUUAAUUGUCUGAAAGUAAAAUUUUUAUUAAAUGCCUUCCACUUUGUUCUUCUCAUAAAACCUAAUGCUGUACCAUAGACUUGUCAGCAUAAUUCACCAUAUGUGGAAAGGUGGAGGGGGCAUUGGUAGAGUGGAUCGUCAGCUUGGCCACUAAUUAUGCAAUGAUCAUUAGGGUUGACUCUUGGUUUUUAGAUGUGGCCUUUUGCGGCGACCUGGGAACUGCAUGUUAGGAUCUUGAUGGCAUGUGGUGCUCAAAUGCCUGCAACUUUGCGGUUUGAGACUGGAUGACAGUAGAUGGAUGAGUUGCAAUCUAAAAGCUGGAUCACCAAGAACUAAAUGCUAUUGGUACCAACCAUUGCAAAUCAGCAGUGUUACAUUCAAAAAACUACAACAUAACCUGUGCUCUGAGUUCUGGGUUGAUCUUAUCCUUCUCGUUAGGAUUUCUCUUAUUAUCCUAUAUUGGAUUGGCUAUAUCUUCCCUGUAAUUGGUUCAAGAUAUCAUGUACUGCUGACAGUAGAAUUUUUAACACUUAUUGAGACUAGACGUAUGAUACUGGGUUCAAUUGCUUUUCCACUUGGAUGCUGCUGAAGAUUUGUGGUGGAUUUAUUUCUUCGUUUUGGUUAUGGUAACUUUAAUGUGGAAUAUUGGGCUCGUGGAUCAUUGUGGAUAUUGAAUUGUUUUGUUCAUUAAAAAAUUUUGCAGAUCCUAUUCAAGAUCCAGAUCUCCAUAUUCAUCCCCUCCACCUCACCAGAGUCGCAGUUCUAGCUAAAGUCCAACGAGCCCAUCAUAAUCUCGUUUGGCCUGAGUGAGAUCUGAAUGCAGCCAAAUUGUUGACUCUAGAGAUCGCUACUGGGCAUGCAUUUUAUGUGCUGGAUUUUAAUUUAAGUUGAACAUUAGCCCAUUUAAGGUCCAAUUUAGCUAUGCUGCUACCUAUAGUGGAUUUUAAAUUGAUAGAUGAAGCCGUGAAUCAAACCUGUUGUGCAUUUAAAAUUUUAUGUGGAUAUUGGGAACCAGAAUUGAAAUGUAUCUGUGUGGAUAUUGGGAACCAGAACUGAAAUGUAUCUGUAUCAUCAACUCUGGCUGGGCUACAUUCCAACUUAGUCAGAGCGUUUAGUUGUCUAACCCUAUGAUAUUGGAUUGCUUAAUUAUCGCAUUCUCGUGGGAUUUAAUGCUC